UACGUAGGGGGCAAGCGUUGUCCGGAAUCAUUGGGCGUAAAGAGCGUGUAGGCGGCCUGGUAAGUCCGCUGUGAAAGUCCAGGGCUCAACCCUGGGAUGCCGGUGGAUACUGUCGGGCUAGAGUGCGGAAGAGGCGAGUGGAAUUCCUGGUGUAGCGGUGAAAUGCGCAGAUAUCAGGAGGAACACCAAUGGCGAAGGCAGCAGAUUGGGCCGGUAUUGACGCUCAGGCACGAAAGCAUGGGGAUC
rnacentral:rRNA from 1 species